GGAUCCAGACUUUGAUUCUGGCUCAGGAUGAACGCUAGCUACAGGCUUAACACAUGCAAGUCGAGGGGCAGCGGGAUUGAAGCUUGCUUCAGUUGCCGGCGACCGGCGCACGGGUGAGUAACGCGUAUCCAACCUUCCGUACACUCAGGGAUAGCCUUUCGAAAGAAAGAUUAAUACCUGAUGGUAUGAUGAGAUUGCAUGAUAGCAUCAUUAAAGAUUUAUCGGUGUACGAUGGGGAUGCGUUCCAUUAGGUAGUAGGCGGGGUAACGGCCCACCUAGCCAACGAUGGAUAGGGGUUCUGAGAGGAAGGUCCCCCACAUUGGAACUGAGACACGGUCCAAACUCCUACGGGAGGCAGCAGUGAGGAAUAUUGGUCAAUGGACGAGAGUCUGAACCAGCCAAGUAGCGUGAAGGAUGAAGGUCUUACGGAUUGUAAACUUCUUUUAUAUGGGAAUAAACCCUCCCACGUGUGGGAGCUUGUAUGUACCUUAUGAAUAAGCAUCGGCUAACUCCGUGCCAGCAGCCGCGGUAAUACGGAGGAUGCGAGCGUUAUCCGGAUUUAUUGGGUUUAAAGGGAGCGCAGACGGGUCGUUAAGUCAGCUGUGAAAGUUUGGGGCUCAACCUUAAAAUUGCAGUUGAUACUGGCGUCCUUGAGUGCGGUUGAGGUGUGCGGAAUUCGUGGUGUAGCGGUGAAAUGCUUAGAUAUCACGAAGAACUCCGAUUGCGAAGGCAGCACACUAAUCCGUAACUGACGUUCAUGCUCGAAAGUGUGGGUAUCAAACAGGAUUAGAUACCCUGGUAGUCCACACGGUAAACGAUGGAUACUCGCUGUUGGCGAUAUACUGUCAGCGGCUUAGCGAAAGCGUUAAGUAUCCCACCUGGGGAGUACGCCGGCAACGGUGCAACUCAAAGGAAUUGACGG
rnacentral:rRNA from 1 species